AACGAACGCUGGCGGCGCGCCUAAUACAUGCAAGUCGAGCGAGAAGGUGUAGCAAUACACUUGUAAAGCGGCGAACGGGUGAGGAAUGCAUGGGUAACCUACCCUCGAGUGGGGAAUAACUAGCCGAAAGGUUAGCUAAUACCGCAUACGUUUCCGGAACUUCGGUUUCGGAAAGAAAGCAAUACCGUGGGUAUUGCGCUCCUGGAUGGGCUCAUGUCCUAUCAGCUUGUUGGUGAGGUAACGGCUCACCAAGGCUUCGACGGGUAGCUGGUCUGAGAGGACGAUCAGCCACACUGGCACUGCGACACGGGCCAGACUCCUACGGGAGCAGCAGUAAGGAAUAUUGCGCAAUGGACGAAAGUCUGACGCAGCGACGCCGCGUGGGGGGAUGGAAGGUCUUCGGAUUGUAAACCCCUUUCGGGAGGG
rnacentral:rRNA from 1 species